AGUAUAGCAGUUACAGUUCAAAAUGAAAUCUCAAUUUUGCUUAGUAAAAACAAAAGACAAAUGAGCUUCAAGUCUAGAUCUAGUUGGUGCUCAAUAAUGUACACACUAACAGUGUACUCCACAGACUCUAUAAUAUUCUAUACAGGUUUCUUUAUAGGUUUCUA
rnacentral:sRNA from 1 species